CAUCACUCUCAUUGUAAGAGGAAAAUACAAAUUAAUAUAUACAAGAAGAGGAAUUCUCUUAUUUCCUUUCUCUGUCUCUAUCUCUCAAUCCCUUAUCUUCCUAUUUCCUAUUCUGGUAUCAGAGCCAGCAAUGGUGAAUACUGAACCCUUCUCCUUAUUCUCAGUUCUGCGUCACGUCAUUACCAACACCGAAAAUACGAUAGAACCUCCUCUAAAUCAGCUCUUAAAUCAAGUGACGUCCAUUAAAAUGGACAGGUCGAAUUUUCUUCUUUGGCAAAACCUCGUCUGGCCCAUUCUCAGGAGCUACAAGCUAGAAGGCUAUCCAACAGGGGAAACUCCAUGCCCCAGUUGUUUUAUCAUAGAAAAUGUAAAUGCUAGUGAAAGCUCCAGCGAGAGCUCAAGUGCUGAACCAGGUGCAUCAAUUGAGAAAGAGCACCAACCAAAUCCAGUUGAAUAGCAAUGGACAAGCUUCUCUUGGGCUGGCUCUACAACUUGAUGUCUCAAGAUGUCGCAACCCAAAUGAUGGGGUUUCAAAUUUCCAAGGAUCUGUGGGAAGCCGUUCAGGAACUGGUAGGCAUCCAAUCCAUGGCAGAAACUAAUUAUCUCAAGCGAUUGUUCCAACAAACAUGCAAGGGAGCUUUAAAAAUGGGUGAGUACUUGGCCUUAAUGAAAAAAUAUUUUGAUAGGCUUGCCCUUGCUAGGAGCCCCGUGUUUGCUAUUGAUCUUGUUUCUCAGGUGCUAUCAGGGUUGGAUGAGGAAUACAAUCUCGUAAUAGUAGUCAUUCAAGGCAAAGGUGCAGUACGCUGGUCAGAUAUGCAGUCGGACUUUCUUUCUCACGAAAAAUGCCUUGAAUAUCAGCUUGCAGUCAAAUCAAGUGUGUUCGGAAUGUCUGGCUUAUCUCUAUCUUCUAACCCUUUUUCUGUGAAUGUGGUGCAAGGUAGCACUCAGACCAAUCAAAAUCAGUAUCAAAAUCCACAAGGUGCCACCCAAUUCUUGAAUUCUGGGGGGUGGGGGGUAGAGGUCGAAAUAGAGGAAAAGGUCACUAGGACAAUGCUUCGACAAAUCGGCCAACAUAUCAAACUUGUGGAAAAUUGGGACACACGACCGACAUCUGUUUCUUUCGCUAUAACAAAGAGUUCAACAACCCCAGACAAACUCACAAUCGGGCUGAAUCCACCCAACUGCCUACCAACCGAACUCAGGAUCAAAAUCCAUCACCAAUGGUUGCCAAUUCCAACAUUUCCUCCCUUGAAACAGUGGCUGACCCAAACUGGUAUGCCGAUGGUAGGGCCACCAGCCACGUUACCAGCAACCGCAAAUUUCUAACAUCCGCUACUGAUUACACAAGUAUGGAAAAGGUGAUUAUUGGGGAUGGUACUCCCUUGAAAAUCUCUUAGUUGGGUACCUCUGUUAUUCGUUCUAAAUCAGGAUAAGGAUUCGGGGGAGGAGCUACUGAGAGGCACACUUAAGGAUGGUCUCUACCGGAUGGAAUGCACCAACCUGUUGAUAAAUAUCAUGUCUAGAACUCAGUUUGAUGGAAGUUUAGCUCGGUUGAUCACAGUUUUCCUUCUUUGCAUAUUUUACAUACUAAUGUAUCAAUGUCCACAACCUGAUUACACAAAUGUCUUGGACAUACAUCCCCUAAAAUUUUGGACAAACUGAUUAGAGGAUGUAACCUCAAAAUAUCUAUUAAUGCGAAAAAUAAAUUCUACAAAGCUUGUCAAUUCGGAAAAA